rnacentral:rRNA from 1 species
UACGAAGGGGGCUAGCGUUGCUCGGAAUCACUGGGCGUAAAGGGUGCGUAGGCGGGUCUUUUAAGUCAGGGGUGAAAUCCUGGAGCUCAACUCCAGAACUGCCUUUGAUACUGAGGAUCUUGAGUACGGGAGAGGUGAGUGGAACUGCGAGUGUAGAGGUGAAAUUCGUAGAUAUUCGGAAGAACACCAGUGGCGAAGGCGGCUCACUGGCCCGGUACUGACGCUGAGAUACGAAAGCGUGGGGAGCAAACAGG